AGGUAUAGAAUAACACACCUGUAGUCCCAGCUACUCGGGAGGCUGAGACAGGAGGAACGCUUGAGUCCAGGAGCUCUGGGCUGUAGUGCACUAUGCCGAUUGGGUGUCUGCAUCAAUAUGGUGACCUCACAGGAGCAGGGGGCCACCCCUAAGGAGGGGUGAACUGGCCCAGGUUGGAAACAGAGCAGGUCAAAACUCUGGUGCUGAUCAGUAGUGGGAUCGUGCCUGUGAAUAGCCACUGUACUCGAGCCUGGGCAACAUAGUGAGACCCCAUCUCUA
rfam:Otolemur garnettii contig130622, whole genome shotgun sequence.